rnacentral:misc_RNA from 1 species
CUGUGCUCUGAAGGUACUGUGUUUAAAGAAGCACGAGUUUCAACCACAAGAAAGAUGGGCUACUGAAGAUGUAGAACAUAAUGAGCAAUGCCCAGCUCAAGAUAUGAACAUCCCAAGGAUGCUUGAACAAUCGUUGAGAGACAAAUUGAACAUCUUGCAAACAAGCAAAAUGAGGGACCAUGCAGAAGAUCAUUGUAAUAUUUUUUCUUUUGGUUUGGAAAAAGUAUGUUGGUGGAUCCUUUUUGCAACGAUUGUAAGCAGCACAUUGUCAGGUUUUCAUUUGAAAUUCUGGAGGAAGAAAACGCUGAAGCUAGUUCAUCUGGAGCCAGUGCCUGAGCAUUGGCACCAACUGUUGCAGCUGAAGCAGCAACAGCUACCACAGAGUCAUCCUAAGGGUGCUGGAAAGUGGAG